rnacentral:misc_RNA from 1 species
GUGAAUCAUCGAAUCUUUGAACGCACCUUGCACCCUUUGGUAUUCCGAAGGGUAUGCCUGUUUGAGUGUCAUUAAAUUCUCAACUUUAAAGAUUUUGUUAUCUUUGAAGCUUGGACUAUGGAGGUUAUUUGCAGGCGAUUAACAUUGUCAGCUCCUCUUAAAUACAUUAGCGGAACUCUUAAGUACCAGCUUUGGUUUGAUAAGUAUAUCUAUGCCGUCGCUGUGAACUGUCAUGUUCAGCUUCUAAUGGUCUUCGGACUGUCUCUUAUGAGGCAUACACUUUAAGCUUGACCUCAAAUC